UACGCUAAUCCCGCAUCACUUCAGAUAAAGCAGGUCGCAAGGCCUUGCUCUGGAGCGCGAAUCGAUUAGCUAGUUGUGGGUUAGGCUACCAUGCAUCGAUCAGAGCUGUUCGAGAGGACGACCAAGCACACUGAACUGAGACACGUCAGACUCUACGGAGGCAGCAGUGGGGAUUUGGACAUGGCGCAGCCUGAUCCAGCAUGCGCGUGAGUGAAGAGCUUCGGUUGUAAGCUCUUUGUCAGGGAGAAACGGUGGGAGCUAUAUCUCUUGCUAUGACGGUACCUGAGAAUAGCACCGGCUACUACGUGCCAGCAGCGCGGUAAUACGUAGGGUGCAAGCGUUAAUCGGAAUUACUGGGCGUAAAGCGUGCGCAGGCGGUUUUGUAAGUUUGUCGUGAAAUCCCCGGGCUCAACCUGGGAAUGGCGAUGAAGACUGCAAGGCUAGAAUCUGGCAGAGGGGGGUAGAAUUCCACGUGUAGCAGUGAAAUGCGUAGAGAUGUGGAGGAACACCGAUGGCGAAGGCAGCCCCCUGGGUCAAGAUUGACGCUCAUGCACGAAAGCGUGGGGAGCAAACAGGAUUAGAUACCCUGGUAGUCCACGCCCUAAACGAUGUCUACUAGUUGUCGGGUUUUAAUUAACUUGGUAACGCAGCUAACGCGUGAAGUAGACCGCCUGGGGAGUACGGUCGCAAGAUUAAAACUCAAAGGAAUUGACGGGGACCCGCACAAGCGGUGGAUGAUGUGGAUUAAUUCGAUGCAACGCGAAAAACCUUACCUACCCUUGACAUGUACGGAAGCCACGAGAGAUCGAGGCGUGCUCGAAAGAGAGCCGUAACACAGGUGCUGCAUGGCUGUCGUCAGCUCGUGUCGUGAGAUGUUGGGUUAAGUCCCGCAACGAGCGCAACCCUUGUCAUUAGUUGCUACGAAAGAGCACUCUAAUGAGACUGCCGGUGACAAACCGGAGGAAGGUGGGGAUGACGUCAAGUCCUCAUGGCCCUUAUGGGUAGGGCUUCACACGUCAUACAAUGGUACAUACAGAGGGCCGCCAACCCGCGAGGGGGAGCUAAUCCCAGAAAGUGUAUCGUAGUCCGGAUUGUAGUCUGCAACUCGACUACAUGAAGUUGGAAUCGCUAGUAAUCGCGGAUCAGCAUUCGCAUAAUGGCUC
rnacentral:rRNA from 1 species